rnacentral:rRNA from 1 species
UACGUAGGGGGCUAGCGUUGUCCGGAUUUAUUGGGCGUAAAGAGCGUGUAGGCGGCCAGGUAGGUCUGGUGUGAAAACUCGAGGCUUAACCUUGAGAUGUCAUCGGAAACCAUUUGGCUAGAGUCCGGAAGAGGAAAGUGGAAUUCCCAGUGUAGCGGUGAAAUGCGUAGAUAUUGGGAGGAACACCAGUGGCGAAGGCGGCUCACUGGACCGGAACUGACGCUGAGGCGCGAAAGCGUGGGGAGCAAACAGG